AACAGGAUUAGAUACCCUGGUAGUCCACGCCCUAAACGAUGUCUACUAGUUGUUGGGUCUUAAUUGACUUAGUAACGCAGCUAACGCGUGAAGUAGACCGCCUGGGGAGUACGGUCGCAAGAUUAAAACUCAAAGGAAUUGACGGGGACCCGCACAAGCGGUGGAUGAUGUGGAUUAAUUCGAUGCAACGCGAAAAACCUUACCUACCCUUGACAUGUACGGAAUCCCUGAGAGAUUAGGGAGUGCUCGAAAGAGAACCGUAACACAGGUGCUGCAUGGCUGUCGUCAGCUCGUGUCGUGAGAUGUUGGGUUAAGUCCCGCAACGAGCGCAACCCUUGUCAUUAGUUGCUACGAAAGGGCACUCUAAUGAGACUGCCGGUGACAAACCGGAGGAAGGUGGGGAUGACGUCAAGUCCUCAUGGCCCUCAUGGGUAGGGCUUCACACGUCAUACAAUGGUACAUACAGAGGGCCGCCAACCCGCGAGGGGGAGCUAAUCCCAGAAAGUGUAUCGUAGUCCGGAUUGUAGUCUGCAACUCGACUACAUGAAGUUGGAAUCGCUAGUAAUCGCGGAUCAGCAUGUCGCGGUGAAUACGUUCCCGGGUCUUGUACACACCGCCCGUCACACCAUGGGAGCGGGUUUCACCAGAAGUAGGUAGCCUAACCGUAAGGAGGGCGCUUACCACGGUGGGAUUCGUGACUGGGGUGAAGUCGUAACAAGGUAACC
rnacentral:rRNA from 1 species